AGAGUUUGAUCCUGGCUCAGGAUGAACGCUGGCGGCGUGCUUAACACAUGCAAGUCGAACGGAGAUAACAUGGAGGAAGCGAGAAGCUUGCUUUGAGUGGACGAAAUGAUAUCUUAGUGGCGGACGGGUGAGUAACGCGUGGAUAACCUGCCUUAUACCGGGGGAUAACACUUAGAAAUAGGUGCUAAUACCGCAUAAGCGCACAGCUUCGCAUGAAGCAGUGUGAAAAACUCCGGUGGUAUAAGAUGGAUCCGCGUCUGAUUAGCUAGUUGGUGGGGUAAUGGCUCACCAAGGCGACGAUCAGUAGCCGGCCUGAGAGGGUGAACGGCCACAUUGGGACUGAGACACGGCCCAAACUCCUACGGGAGGCAGCAGUGGGGAAUAUUGCACAAUGGGCGAAAGCCUGAUGCAGCGACGCCGCGUGAGUGAAGAAGUAUUUCGGUACGUAAAGCUCUAUCAGCAAGGAAGAAAAUGACGGUACUUGACUAAGAAGCCCCGGCUAACUACGUGCCAGCAGCCGCGGUAAUACGUAGGGGGCAAGCGUUAUCCGGAUUUACUGGGUGUAAAGGGAGCGUAGACGGUAUGGUAAGUCAGAUGUGAAAGCCCGGGGCUCACCCCGGGACUGCAUUUGAAACUAUCAGACUAGAGUGCAGAGAGGUAAGUGGAUUCCUAGUGUAGCGUGAAUGCGUAGAUAUAGAGGACACAGGGCGAAGCGCUACUGGAUGUACUGACGUGAGGUCGAAGCGGGGAGAACAGAUA
rnacentral:rRNA from 1 species